GGGCCAUAGCUCAGGAGUAGAGCAUCUGCCUCGCGUGCAGAAGGUAGCAGGUUCAAUUCCUGGCAUCUCCA